UACGUAGGGGGCAAGCGUUGUCCGGAAUCAUUGGGCGUAAAGAGCGUGUAGGCGGCCAGAAAAGUCCGCUGUGAAAACUCGAGGCUCAACUUCGAGCUGUCGGUGGAAACUUUCUGGCUAGAGUCCGGAAGAGGAGAAUGGAAUUCCUGGUGUAGCGGUGAAAUGCGCAGAUAUCAGGAGGAACACCGAUGGCGAAGGCAGCUCGCUGGGACGGUACUGACGCUGAGGCGCGAAAGCGUGGGGAGCAAACAGG
rnacentral:rRNA from 1 species